ensembl:miRNA MIR7855 microRNA 7855
GCUUGGUGAGGACCCCAAGCUCGGCACUAUUGUGACUGUGCUUUUGGCUUCCUUUCCAGGC